rnacentral:tRNA from 1 species
GAGGGUAUAGCCCAGUGGUAGAGUGCAUGUUAGUAUGCACAAGGUCCUGGGGUCAAUUCCCAGUACCUUUU